rnacentral:rRNA from 1 species
CCUACGGGAGGCAGCAGUGGGGAAUAUUGGGCAAUGGGCGCAAGCCUGACCCAGCAACGCCGCGUGAAGGAAGAAGGCUUUCGGGUUGUAAACUUCUUUUCUCAGGGACGAAGCAAGUGACGGUACCUGAGGAAUAAGCCACGGCUAACUACGUGCCAGCAGCCGCGGUAAUACGUAGGUGGCAAGCGUUAUCCGGAUUUACUGGGUGUAAAGGGCGAGUAGGCGGGAAAGCAAGUCAGAUGUGAAAACCAUGGGCUCAACCUGUGGCCUGCAUUUGAAACUGGUUUUCUUGAGUACUGGAGAGGCAGACGGAAUUCCUAGUGUAGCGGUGAAAUGCGUAGAUAUUAGGAGGAACACCAGUGGCGAAGGCGGUCUGCUGGACAGCAACUGACGCUGAGGCGCGAAAGCGUGGGGAGCAAACAGGAUUAGAUACCCCGGUAGUC